UACGUAGGGUGCAAGCGUUAAUCGGAAUUACUGGGCGUAAAGCGUGCGCAGGCGGUUUUGUAAGUUUGUCGUGAAAUCCCCGGGCUCAACCUGGGAAUGGCGAUGAAGACUGCAAGGCUAGAGUUUGGCAGAGGGGGGUAGAAUUCCACGUGUAGCAGUGAAAUGCGUAGAUAUGUGGAGGAACACCGAUGGCGAAGGCAGCGCCCUGGGUCAAAACUGACGCUCAUGCACGAAAGCGUGGGGAGCAAACAGG
rnacentral:rRNA from 1 species